rnacentral:rRNA from 1 species
GAUGAACGCUGGCGGCGUGCCUAAUACAUGCAAGUCGAGCGGACAGACGAGGAGCUUGCUCCUCUGACGUUAGCGGCGGACGGGUGAGUAACACGUGGAUAACCUACCUAUAGGACUGGGAUAACUUCGGGAAACCGGAGCUAAUACCGGAUAAUAUAUUGAACCGCAUGGUUCAAUAGUGAAAGACGGUUUUGCUGUCACUUAUAGAUGGAUCCGCGCCGCAUUAGCUAGUUGGUAAGGUAACGGCUUACCAAGGCAACGAUGCGUAGCCGACCUGAGAGGGUGAUCGGCCACACUGGAACUGAGACACGGUCCAGACUCCUACGGGAGGCAGCAGUAGGGAAUCUUCCGCAAUGGGCGAAAGCCUGACGGAGCAACGCCGCGUGAGUGAUGAAGGUCUUCGGAUCGUAAAACUCUGUUAUUAGGGAAGAACAAAUGUGUAAGUAACUAUGCACGUCUUGACGGUACCUAAUCAGAAAGCCACGGCUAACUACGUG